UUCACGUACGAUCGCCGAAGUUAAACAAUGUCGAGCCUGGUCAGUACCUAGAUGGGUGACCGCUUGGGAAUAUCAGGUUCUGUAAG